CAGUGUGGGAUUGGUAACGAAAAUCGUGUGUAUAAACAAAAAGGUGGAAGAUUUUUUUAAAAAGAUAGGUCUUCAACGCAAGUGUGAUUUUUUAAAAGUAUUAAUAAACAUCUUUUUAACCAA